rnacentral:tRNA from 1 species
GGGCGGUUAGCUCAGUGGUUAGAGCGCCUGCUUCACACGCAGGAGGUCACAGGUUCGAGACCUGUACCGCCCACCA